rnacentral:rRNA from 1 species
CAGUAGCCGCGGUAAAACGAAGGGUGCAAGCGUUAAUCGGAAUUACUGGGCGUAAAGCGUGCGUAGGCGGUGAGUUAAGUCUGCUGUGAAAUCCCCGGGCUCAACCUGGGAAUGGCAGUGGAUACUGGCUCGCUAGAGUGUGUCAGAGGAUGGUGGAAUUCCCGGUGUAGCGGUGAAAUGCGUAGAGAUCGGGAGGAAUACCGAUGGCGAAGGCAGCCAUCUGGCCUAAUACUGACGCUGAGGUACGAAAGCAUGGGGAGCAAACAGGAUUAGAUACCCGCGUAGUCCCUGUCUCUUAUAC